rnacentral:rRNA from 1 species
GACGAACGCUGGCGGCGUGCCUAACACAUGCAAGUCGAGCGAAGAACUUCGGUUCUUUGCGGCGGACGGGUGAGUAACACGUGGGUAACCUGCCUCAAAGAGGGGGAUAGCCUCCCGAAAGGGAGAUUAAUACCGCAUAAUAUUAGAUCUUCACAUGGAGAUUUAAUUAAAGGAGUAAUCCGCUUUGAGAUGGACCCGCGGCGCAUUAGCUAGUUGGUGAGGUAACGGCUCACCAAGGCGACGAGGCGUAGCCGACCUGAGAGGGUGAUCGGCCACAUUGGAACUGAGACACGGUCCAGACUCCUACGGGAGGCAGCAGUGGGGAAUAUUGCACAAUGGGCGAAAGCCUGAUGCAGCAACGCCGCGUGAGUGAUGAAGGCCUUCGGGUUGUAAAACUCUGUCUUUGGGGACGAUAAUGACGGUACCCAAGGAGGAAGCCACGGCUAACUACGUGCCAGCCGCCGCAGUAAGAC